CUCAGUCUGCAGUUAAGGCUCUUGUCCUGGUGGGGAAAAAAGAUAACACUAGAAUCCCCCAAUGCCCGUGGCUUGCUCCCUGCAUUCCGAAACGCUGGAUGAAGAAAGAAAAAUACGAAGCAUAGAAACCCUUUGUGGCGCCGUUUUUUGGAUCACUUCUGGUCUUGUUUUGACAAGCAGGGGCUUGCAGCUACUUUUGAUUUUAGAUAAAGCACAGAAUGGGAAAGCUCACUCCACGGCGAUGAGUCCAGAUAGAAAGAAAGAUUAUGACAUGGAAGGACAGCUUGGCAGAACAAACGAAAAACAAGCAAAAACAAAGCCUACAUCUCAGGCACUGGUGUGCGUUUUCUGUUAAGAAGCAGGGAACUUCAGAUCCCACGGACAAAGGCCAAGUCACUCACAGAACAUUAUAUGUGUUCCAAAAGACAUCUUGCCAAGAACAGAAAAUAAAUUGGUUGUACUUACUUUA